AGUGAACGCUGGCGGUAGGCCUAACACAUGCAAGUCGAACGGCAGCACAGUAAGAGCUUGCUCUUACGGGUGGCGAGUGGCGGACGGGUGAGGAAUACAUCGGAAUCUACUUUUUCGUGGGGGAUAACGUAGGGAAACUUACGCUAAUACCGCAUACGACCUACGGGUGAAAGCAGGGGAUCUUCGGACCUUGCGCGAUUGAAUGAGCCGAUGUCGGAUUAGCUAGUUGGCGGGGUAAAGGCCCACCAAGGCGACGAUCCGUAGCUGGUCUGAGAGGAUGAUCAGCCACACUGGAACUGAGACACGGUCCAGACUCCUACGGGAGGCAGCAGUGGGGAAUAUUGGACAAUGGGCGCAAGCCUGAUCCAGCCAUACCGCGUGGGUGAAGAAGGCCUUCGGGUUGUAAAGCCCUUUUGUUGGGAAAGAAAAGCAGCAGGUUAAUACCCCGCUGUUCUGACGGUACCCAAAGAAUAAGCUCCGGCUAACUUCGU
rnacentral:rRNA from 1 species